GUGUGCAAACUUAUUGGAGCCAAGUCUUUGCCCUUCCUAAAAAAGUUUUGAAACUUAUUCAAACGGCUUGUAGAGUCUUCCUUUGGACUGAUAAAUCUGGUAUUUCAAAAAGAACUCUUAUUACCUGGGAGCACAUUUGUUUGCCAAAAUUAUAUGCCAAGUGAUUAGAAACAUAUUUGAACAAUAAUCACUCUAAAAUUUCAUGGUUUUCCCACAAUUAAGCAAAAUUCAAUCAAAAACUUAUUUCAAACCUCAAACAUGAAUUUAAGCAUAUAAACACUUCAAUUCCUUAAAAUUCAAUAUACCCAAUAUUACACAUCAAAAAGGAACACGAAAUUCAUCAUAUAAAAUCAUCAAUUCACAAAAUCAAUUAUGAACCAUAAGCUAAAAUUCAACUAUAAGUGAUAAUAUGAGUGAAUCCAUCCCCCUUACCUUAAGUCUUCACAAUCUUCUAGUUAUGACUUCAUUUUCCCCCUCUAGCUCUAGCUUUGUCCUAUUCUAAGUUCUUCCUGUUCUUUCUUCUAUUCUUCUCUUCUUUCUCUC
rnacentral:lncRNA from 1 species